UGCAAAAUUUAGGGAAAAUGAAACCAUCGACACAACCACAAAAACAAAAACCUCUACUCACUCUUUCUCUUUCAAGACACUUAUGGAACCAUUGUUUUCAAACUCAGAUCUUUGUUUUUCUCGGAGUAACUUCAAUAUGAGGAAUAUCAUUUUGUGAAUCAGAUUCUUCGAAUUGAGGUACAUCAAUUUCAAUUUCAGAUCUUUUCCUUCUCGGAUUCAAUUUCAAAUUUAGGUACAUCAAUUUAAAAUUAAGAUCUUCGUCUAUCGUUGAAUCAAUUUAUAGAUCAUGACCCAAAAUUGUAAUUUGUCGUCCAUCUGAGUGCGGAUCAACAAUUUUAAGGUGCAUUCUUUCUCCUUGAAUCAAUUAAUAGAUCUUGACCCAAUUUUGUUUUUUAAUGUCUUUUUUUCAAUAAUCUCACAGAUUAUGUUUAGAUAUGGGUUAGCUUCAUGAGUAAUUUAGAUUUUAUUGUUUCUGUUAUGUUUCAUUUUGUGCUUCUGGUUUGAAUGAGCAUGAUAGCAUUGUUUUUCGUAUCGCAAUUCCACCACAAUCGAUUGAUUUUCGUAGGAGCUGCUGUGAGUGCUGACUUUGUUUGGCUUGUUCUCCUUCGUUAGAGAAGGUUUUUAGGUGAUUCUUUUUUUGAAUUUGGGUGUUUUUCUGUCUACUUUCUGCCUUUAAAAUUUCAGAAUUUUUGGAGUUUAUUUGUUAUUAAAAUGGCCUGUUUUGUUUGGGCUGGUCUGUUUUGGUUCGAAUAGGAUUAUUCUUACUGUUUGGGUGAGAUUUUAAUAGAGUUGUUCUGUAAUUUUCUCUAGGGAUUGGGUGUUAGAAAAUAUUAUUGCACUCUUUAGUCCCCUGUGUUUCUUGCUAAUACUAUUUUCUUGUGCGUUCAUUUUUCCCUUGUAUGUGAUUACUAUGGCAAAGGAAUCGGUAAAUAUAAAAAACUUAUGGAUGAUUUUCCAUGAAAAAUGUGAGUAACUUGAUUAGAGAACAGAAUUCAAGUAGGAAUACUUGAGGAUUGUAGCUCAUAUUAGUGUUCUUUAUUCAAAGCAUCCAUCAUUUUGAUGUUGACUCCUAAGCAAUUCUUGUUUAUCGUAUUCUCUUAGGUAAUUGCCUAACAUCUUUAAAAGGACUCAAGCAUUGUCAUGCUCCUGUUAUGAUUUGCUUAUCUUUUCUUUUUAUCUGUGCAACUCUAUUGUCAUCAAAAUGAAUUCGAUACUUCGUAACUCUUGUUGCAAGCUUGUCAUCUAUAGACUUGAGAGCGUAAGUGUUAUCUAUUUUAUCCUUCUAUUUUUCUUCCGUUUAGAAGAAUGAAAAACAAUAUUUUGGGUUUCAUAUCACAUUACUAAAUAUUUCCCUUAGAAGAUACUGAAUUUGGUGUAUAUAGUCAUUCAAUCAUGAAGAAAUUCACUUACUUUAUAACAUAAAGAUGUUUGAGUCGUAUGGAAUGCAGAAAAUAAGAUGAGAUCAGUUGAAAAGGGUCUGCAGUACAUAGAGCUUAAUAGUGAUUAGUGAGGCCCCUCUGAUAAUUGACGAUUGCAGACCGCCAAACAACUGACCAACUGCUGGAACAAUCAUUUUCUAGAACUUACAGGAGGUUCAUUGUGUUUAGGGGUGUGCUGUGAACGGUGCUGAGAAUGAAGGUACCUAGGCUUUUUCUUUUUUCCUUUAUUGAGAUUAUGAAUGUUUGUUCUUUGAUGAUCUAACUUAAUAUAUUGUCAUAUUAUGCAUGCUAUUAAUUGAAAUGGUGUGAAUCAUAGAACUAACAGCUGAUUGAAUUAGUGUAAUUUAUUUUCAUGUACCAAUUAAGAGUAGCAAACAAAGUCUGUCUUUGAUUUAGCUCUUCUGGUCUUAGUAGUGAUGCAGGUUGAGCAGCUGGAAGCUAAUUAGAAUAUGAGCCAAGUAAUAUUCACGUGGAUUACAUGUUAAUUAUUAACUUAGUUGAGUUAUGUUGACCAAGAGUUGUGGUCAAAAUUUUAGUGUUACUAUUUAGACUAUAAAUAUUAGUUUGGUGACUAAAUAAAAUGCGUUUUAGAUCUUUUGAUAAAGAUAAUUCUUGUUGAAUUGAUUUGUAUAGCCUCUUAUGAUCACUUUGGUAAUGUUGACCUGAUUCUAAUUAGUGAUUUCCUUGUACAGUUUGUCCCUUGCGUAUAGACAGCAAGGUCUGUACUACUUUAUCUUCUCUGAGUUGUGUAAUUUAAUGAUAACAUAUAUUGACUUUGAUGUCUUUAUUUAUUUCCCUAAUGCAUUUUAAAUAUGUUUGUUUGGUUUGCCGAAGUACCUUUUUUCCACAGGUUAUAGAUCAUGAAUUUCCAAACAAUUUUGACAACUUUGUUCACCAAUCCCUUGUGGCAAAACAAAUCAUUGCUGAUAUUGAUACUACUGGACGUUGUUGCUGCCUAUGCUUAACAUUGCUACAUGCUGCUGCCACUGCCUAUGCUUGACGCUGCUGCUACUUCCUCUGCUUAACUUUAGUUGCUUCCUAUGCUUGCUACUGUUCAUGCAUGGGGCUUUCUAAGCUAAAACAAGGUUCUAAAUUAGUUAUGAAUGAGCACAAUUCAGAAUUAUAACAGUUGUAACAGAAAACUCAUUACUAUGAAAUAUUGUACAAAAAAAAUUUAUGUGCAAUAAUACAGCUAUUUUUGGCA